rnacentral:lncRNA from 1 species
AUGCCACCUGCCAAUGAGAAAGACAAAGUUGUGUCCCUGUUGGUCAAAGAAACGCAGCCUGAAGACGAGGGUCCUUAUGAGUGUGUGGUGAACACUGACAGUGGAAUCACAAAUUGUAACUGCAUGCUGAAGCUCACAGUACGAGACCAGCACCAGGGUCCUGGAAAUGUUGCGGAUAAACAGGAGAUUCCAAAGAACAGUUACAUGAGUGUGGCUGCUGUAUGUGUGGUAGUAGGCUCUCUUGCCAUUGGACUGCUGCUUCUCAAGCUGUUUCAAGCCAGAAGACUCAGACAAGGAGAAAUGGAGUGCACGCAUUGUCCUGCUAUCAAGCUAAUUGUUAGCAGCAUUGUCUGUAGUUGUUAAUCACACCAGACUAUUCUUUCAUAAUUGUUUUAUAUAUUGUAACUAAAACCUGAUAUGAAACAAAUGCACAUAUUUAGUGGACAUUGAUUUGAUAGUGAAGACACUAGUGUGAUACAGUAGCAGUGUGUGAAAUUGAUCUUGACAGAACACAUUUACUUUGUGCAUCACAAUUUGAAUAAGUAAUUUAUUCAGAAGCCAAUAUUGUGUUUUAGUUAAUUUGAGAGUUGCUUUAGUUGACAAAUGCCAUGUUUUUUAUUGUUACAAAGUGGGAUUCAAAUGUAUUUAAUUGUCAUUUUUUUGUAAACAAUCUACAUAAAAUACUGUCAAAGUGUAAGAAGAAAUAACCCGAACAGCUGUGUUAUGUUUUAUGCUGUUGGUUGUGUUGUACUUACCAGUACGCAGUGUUCGCGGGGUCCGACAUGCCAGUCAAUCUGCUAUCUGCCAACCACGGGAAUGCCUGGAAUGUUCUUGUGCCGGGCAUCCUGGUGGCUGGUGGAGCAUCGCAGGUUUACUUCUGGUCUUUACAAGACAUAUCUAUGCUUAUUUAUUUUAUCUUGUGUCCUUUACCAUUUGUACAUUGUUAAAACACUGUAUAUAUAUAAUAUGACAUUUGUAAUGUAUUUAUUGUUUUGAAACUUCUAUGUGUGAUGUUUACUGUUAAUUUUUAUUGUUUAUUUCACUUUAUAUAUUCACUUUAUAUAUUGUCCACCUCACUUGCUUUGGCAAUGUUAACACAUGUUUCCCAUGCCAAUAAAGCCCUUGAAUUGAAUUGGUCACGGUUGUUUGUAUGGAUAUCCUUCAUUUAUUUGGCGUGGGCUAUGGCCGAACAGUAGCCUGUGUGGAGUUGGGUUAAUAAACUGUGAAUUCGUCAACUCAACCCUCUGUCUGGACAAUUGUAUCUUUAU